AUUGAACGCUGGCGGCAGGCCUAACACAUGCAAGUCGAGCGGGGUUUUCGGACCUAGCGGCGGACGGGUGAGUAAUGCGUAGGAAGCUACCCGAUAGAGGGGGAUACCAGUUGGAAACGACCGUUAAUACCGCAUAAUGUCUACGGACCAAAGUGUGGGACCUUCGGGCCACAUGCUAUCGGAUGCGCCUACGUGGGAUUAGCUAGUUGGUGAGGUAAUGGCUCACCAAGGCGACGAUACCUAGCUGGUUUGAGAGGAUGAGCAGCCACACUGGAAAUGAGACACGGUCCAGACUCCUACGGGAGGCAGCAGUGGGGAAUAUUGGACAAUGGGCGCAAGCCUGAUCCAGCCAUGCCGCGUGUGUGAAGAAGGCCUUCGGGUUGUAAAGCACUUUCAGUAGGGAGGAAGGGUUAAGUGUUAAUAGUACUUAACUUUGACGUUACCUACAGAAGAAGCACCGGCUAACUCUGUGCCAGCAGCCGCAGUAACAC
rnacentral:rRNA from 1 species